rnacentral:snRNA from 1 species
AAACAUUAUUGGAUCCAC